AUAAAUACAGAAGGUCUUCAAGACCUCUCUAACAUUUUGUGAACCGUUUAUUGUCUCUGGCGAGUUAUGCUCGCCAAUUAAACUUUAUAUUAUAACUAUUUGUCUAAAAAAGUAUUUUAUUAAAUUAAAAA
rnacentral:misc_RNA from 1 species